GUGAUUUCAGCCACAGAAAUUUGGGAGAGAUGAGUCUUUGGCUCAGCAGAAUGGGCCUAGGUGGAGCUUGAAAUUAAUGAAGAGAUGCUGCUUCCAGCUUUUUGAGCAAGAAGAAGUUUGGCCUCCAGUUAUUACACCUUGAGGUCAGCGGGUAUCUCAAGUCUGAGUAGUUAUAAAAGUGAGCUGAUGUAGAAACACCACCAAAGCAACGUUUUAUCUAAAUAUUUCAGAUCCCCCAUUAUAAAUCAUUUAUUAUGAUUACCCUUUUGGUGUCAUGGAAUGAGAUGAUGAGCUUUUCUUAAUGAAGUAUUUCAUAGACAUAUUUUUUCCAUUUAUCUUGGUGUUGGAUGCUAUGUGACCUGAAUGGCAAAUGAGGAAAUAUUUGUGCAACUCCUGAAAUGCACACAUCUCCCCAUGCCAGAGUGCAGGAGCGGACAGGGCUUUCCCUGGCAGCAAUAGGAGCCCGGUCCUGAGUAGGGCCUCUCCA
ensembl:lncRNA novel transcript